rnacentral:rRNA from 1 species
UGCCGGUGACAAACCGGAGGAAGGUGGGGAUGACGUCAAGUCAUCAUGGCCCUUACGGCCUGGGCUACACACGUGCUACAAUGGUCGGUACAAAGGGUUGCCAAGCCGCGAGGUGGAGCUAAUCCCAUAAAACCGAUCGUAGUCCGGAUCGCAGUCUGCAACUCGACUGCGUGAAGUCGGAAUCGCUAGUAAUCGUGAAUCAGAAUGUCACGGUGAAUACGUUCCCGGGCCUU